rnacentral:rRNA from 1 species
UACCUGCAGCUCAAGUGGUGGCCGCUAUUAUUGGGCCUAAAACGUUCGUAGCCGGCUGAGUAAAUGCUUGGGUAAAUCGUGCCGCUUAACGGUACGAAUUCCGGGUAGACUGCUCAGCUUGAGACCGGGAGAAGCUAGAGGUACUCCUGGGGUAGAGGUGAAAUUCUGUAAUCCUGGGGGGACCACCAGUGGCGAAGGCGUCUAGCUAGAACGGGUCUGACGGUGAGGGACGAAACCCUGGGGCGCAAAUCGGAUUAGAUACCCGGGUAGUCCAGGGCGCAAACGCUGCUUGCUUGAUGUUAGCUGGGCUCCGGGCUCAGCUAGUGUCGGAGAGAAGUUGUUAAGCAAGCUGCCUGGGAAGUACGAUCGCAAGAUUGAAACUUAAAGGAAUUGGCGGGGAGCACAGCAACGGGUGGAGCGUGCGGUUU